rnacentral:misc_RNA from 1 species
UACGUAGGGUCCAAGCGUUGUCCGGAAUUAUUGGGCGUAAAGAGCUCGUAGGCGGCCCUUUAAGUCGGAAGUGAAAUCUCAGGGCUCAACCCUGAAAUUGCUCCCGAUACUGGAGGGCUUGAGGCAGGUAGGGGAAGGUGGAAUUCCUGGUGUAGCGGUGAAAUGCGCAGAUAUCAGGAGGAACACCGGUGGCGAAGGCGGCCUUCUGGGCCUGUACUGACGCUGAGGAGCGAAAGCGUGGGGAGCGAACAGG